UACGUAGGGUGCAAGCGUUAAUCGGAAUUACUGGGCGUAAAGCGUGCGCAGGCGGUUUUGUAAGACAGAGGUGAAAUCCCCGGGCUCAACCUGGGAACUGCCUUUGUGACUGCAAGGCUUGAGUGCGGCAGAGGGGGAUGGAAUUCCGCGUGUAGCAGUGAAAUGCGUAGAUAUGCGGAGGAACACCGAUGGCGAAGGCAAUCCCCUGGGCCUGCACUGACGCUCAUGCACGAAGGCCAGGGGAGCAAACGGG
rnacentral:rRNA from 1 species